UACGUAGGGUCCGAGCGUUGUCCGGAUUUAUUGGGCGUAAAGGGUGCGUAGGCGGCGCGGUAAGUCGGGUGUGAAAUCUCGGGGCUUAACUCCGAAACUGCAUUCGAUACUGCCGUGCUUGAGGACUGGAGAGGAGACUGGAAUUUACGGUGUAGCGGUGAAAUGCGUAGAUAUCGUAAGGAAGACCAGUGGCGAAGGCGGGUCUCUGGACAGUUCCUGACGCUGAGGCACGAAGGUCAGGGGAGCAAACGGG
rnacentral:rRNA from 1 species